GAUGAACGCUAGCGGCAGGCCUAACACAUGCAAGUCGAGGGGUAUUAGGAGCUUGCUCCUAAGAGACCGGCGCACGGGUGCGUAACGCGUAUGCAAUCUACCUUUUACAGGGGAAUAGCCCAGAGAAAUUUGGAUUAAUGCCCCAUAGUAUAUAAACUUCGCAUGUUGUUUAUAUUAAAGUUCCAACGGUAAAAGAUGAGCAUGCGUCCCAUUAGUUAGUUGGUAAGGUAACGGCUUACCAAGACGAUGAUGGGUAGGGGUCCUGAGAGGGAGAUCCCCCACACUGGUACUGAGACACGGACCAGACUCCUACGGGAGGCAGCAGUGAGGAAUAUUGGACAAUGGGCGCAAGCCUGAUCCAGCCAUGCCGCGUGCAGGAAGAAGCAUCUAUGGUGUGUAAACUGCUUUUGUACGGGAAGAAACACUCCCUCGUGAGGGAGCUUGACGGUACCGUAAGAAUAAGGAUCGGCUAACUCCGUGCCAGCCGCCGCGGUAAGAC
rnacentral:rRNA from 1 species